ACGACGGCAACGUCUACGUUGGCCGUACCGAAGACGAAGUGCGUCAGGAAAAUAACCUCGGCGCCGACAUUCAGCUUCGUCAGGACG
rnacentral:tRNA from 1 species